rnacentral:rRNA from 1 species
UUAACAAAAACAUGGCCUUUUGAUUAUAAUUUAAGGUCUGGCCUGCCCAAUGAUUUUUAAAUGGCCGCGGUAAUUUGACCGUGCAAAGGUAGCAUAAUCAUUAGUUUUUUAAUUGAAAGCUUGUAUGAAAGGUUGAAUGAGAAAAUAACUGUCUCUAUAAAAAUUUAUUAGAAAUUUAUUUUUAAGUUAAAAAGCUUAAAUAAUUAUAAAAGACGAGAAGACCCUAUAGAGUUUUAUAAAUUUAUAUUAUUAUAAAUUUAGAAUUAUAUUUUAGAGUAAUAUAAAUAUAUUUUGUUGGGGUGAUUGAAAAAUUAAAUAAACUUUUUUUUUAUUUAUACAAUAAUUUUUGAAUGUUUGAUCCUUUGAUAAAGAUUAAAAGAAUAAAUUACCUUAGGGAUAACAGCGUAAUUUUUUUUAAGAGUUCUAAUCGAAAGAAAAGAUUGCGACCUCGAUGUUGGAUUAAAA